AUGGAGCUUGUGGUGGGCGCUUCCGAGGCGACGAUGAAGUCUCUCCUGGCCAAGUUGGGUGGCCUUCUCGCCAAGGAGUACACCCUGAUCAGGGGCGUGAGAGGCGACCUCCAGUACAUCAACGACGAGCUCGCAACGAUGCAGUCCUUCCUUCGUGACCUUGGCACCGUGGACAAGAAACAUGGCCACCGGACGAAGGACUGGAUGAAGCAGAUCCGGGACAUCACCUACGACAUUGAAGACUGCAUCGACGACUCGGCUGACCGUAUCCACGGCCUCCGCUCCGAUAUGUGCUGCUACGUCCUCUUCAACAGCAUACAUGAGGUCAUCACAUGGUGGCCGCGCCGCGACGUUGCAACCAGGAUCUCCAUGCUCAAGGUGCGUGCACAGGAGAUCGGAGAGCGGCGCCUGAGGUACGGCGUCAACAACCCCGUGGAAGACUCUGCCAGUGCGGAUGCUCCCAACACCGCUGCUGGAUUUUUAGCUGCCGACAACCAGUACGCAAGUCUUCAGCUUGUGACUAUGAAGGACCCUGUGGGAGUAGAGAAGCACAUGGGAGAGCUCAACAAGCGCGUGACUUGCAUUGUGGGGUUUGGAGGAGUGGGGAAGACCGCCAUAGCCACCGCCUUGUGCAUGAAUUAUGGAGAGAAAUUCGACCAUCGUGCCAUGGUCAUGGUGUCUCAGAGCUCCGACCUGGAGGCCAUCCUCAGCAGCAUCAAGAGUCAGCUAAAUCCACAGAUCGACAAUCAUGAUCAGCAAGGCAGUUCGAAGAAGAAGCUCCUCGCACGCUUCAGGCAAGGCGCGUCAACUGUCAUGGCCAAGUGCUGCAACGCUGGCGCCUCAGAGAAAACACGUGACAGGACGAAGCUAAAAGACCUCGAGAAGUACUUCAAGGGCAAGAGUUUCUUGCUCUUAAUUGAUGACGUUUGGUCCGCGACGAUGUUGGAGAAUAUUAUAAAUGAACUUCCUGAAAGUCAAAACAGUAGAAUAAUAGUUACAACACGGUUUCAUGCUGUUGCAACAACACGAAGAGCAGAAGAAAUUGACAUUCGUAAUGUUAAAGGUCUUGAUUAUACGCAAUCAAAGAUAUUAUUUGAGCAAGCCUUGUCAGAAUCCCAAGGAAGCAAGGAUGUUACUACACUGGUCCAAGCUGAUCGUACAACUACAAUACCUACGAAAGAAGGUAGCAAAGAUGUACCAUUCCUGGAUGAAGUCCGGAAGAUGUGUGGGGGGCUGCCGUUGGCCAUAGUUAUCAUGGCCGGUCAUGUGGCCUGCAACCCAAGCAAAACACUGGAAGCAUGGUUGGAACUUUGCAAAUCUCUGUUUCCAGAGUCAAGGAAGGAUCAAGAGGAAGAUGUUGAGAAAGAGCUUACCCAAGAGCAAGUGGGUAGGAUUGUGAGCCAUUGCUACAAUGACAUGCCUGCUGAAAUAAGGACUUGCUCCCUGUAUUUGAGCAUAUUUCUGAAGGGCCACAGAAUCAGCAAGAAACGACUAACAAGGCGAUGGAUAGCCGAAGGGUUCGUCUGCGAGAAGCAGGGAUUGAGUGUGGAGGAUGUUGCAGAGAUAUAUUUCAAUCAUCUCAUAACGAGGAAGAUCAUCCGACCGGUUGAGCAUAGCAGCAACGGGAAGGUGAAGAAAUUUAUAGUUCAUGACAUGGUUCUUGAGCAUGUGGUUGCAAAGGCAAGCGAAGAGAAUUUCAUCACUGUGGUUGGUGGUAAUUGGCUCAUGCCACCUCCUAGCAGCAAAGUCCGUCGUUUAUCCCUCCAAGGAAGUGAUUCCAAACAUGAGAAGGAUACUGAGAAGAUGAACUUAUCUCAUGUCCGGUCGCUAACCAUGUUUGGGUGCUUGAACAACCAGCUGCCUUCACAUUCAUUCAAGUUCGGAAUUGUACAAGUCCUGGAUCUUCAAGAAUGCAAGGGUUUCAAACAUCACCAUAUGAAGGAGAUAUGCGAAAUGCUUCUUCUAAAGUACCUCAGCCUUCGAGGAACUGAGAUCCAAUGUCUUCCAAAAGAAGUUGGAAAUCUUGUGAAUCUAGAGACUCUGGACAUAAGGGAGACAGAUAUUGUAAGGAUGCCCAAAACUGUGUGCCAACUUGGACAUCUUGUUAACAUACUUGGUGGGAAUAAAAAAACACACACAGCACUGAAGCUUCCUGAAGAGUUGAAUAAGAAGAAGAAAAUGAAGGCUCUACGCAUAUUGUCAGGUGUUGAAGUUGGAGGAUCAGCAGACCUUCAUCAUUUGACCGAGCUAAGGAAGCUUGCCAUCUACAAGCUGAAGACCACGGGGAGUGAUGGAAGUUUCAAACAGUUGAUAUCCUCUAUUGAGUACCUUGGUGGCUACUCCCUGCGGACUCUCAUAAUUGUCGAUCAGUCAACAGACUUUCUUGAACAAUUGGAGGCUCUAUCUACACCACCAAAAUUCCUUGUUGCCCUGGAGUUAUCUGGCAAGAUGGUUAAGCUCCCCAGUUGGAUUGAAAACCUCGGUGCGCUCAACAAGUUAACACUUUCGGUGACAGCUCUCCGGAAAGAUAACUUGCAUCAGAUUAGCAAGAUGAAGGCAUUGUUUUCUCUCACGUUUUCAUUCCCAUUUAGUGCAGAAAAGCAGGAUCCGGAAAUAGUAAACAUUCUUGCACGAAACAAAUUGGAGUCCGAUGGGGAGAUCAUGGUUCCAGAUGGUGGUUUUCAGAAGCUUAAGCUUCUCCGGUUCUUUGCUCCCAUGUUGCCAUUACUGAGCUUUUCAGAAAAUGCCAUGCCAAAACUGGAAAGGCUAGAGCUGCGAUUCAACAUGCUGGAGGGCCUCUUUGGCGCAGAAAACCUUUCAAGUUUGAAAGAGGUAUAUUUGAGAUUGGAGGACAAAGAAGGUGAAGUUAUCACCAAGGAGAUACAAUGUGAGAUGGAGGGUGCAUUUAAGAGGACUGAAGCCAAGACUCCAAGGAUAAUCCUUGACCAAUGA
rnacentral:rRNA from 1 species